AAGUCGUAACAAGGUUUCCGUAAACCGCAACGCCUGCGGAAUCCUUGUGCUCCAGUCCCCCAGGGGGCGAGAGAUGCAGUCUGCCGGAACGAGUCAUUCGAACCGGCAGCCGUGCCCCCGGGCAUGGUCCACAGACUAGACGCGUCUCGUCGACUCCCCACGGGAGCGAUGUUGAUAUAGUCGGCCCCGGCGAUCGAACGCCGGGCUUAGCGAGGUGAACCUGCGGAAGGAUCAUUAAAUGAGAAAGGUCGCCUGGAGAAGAAAAUAUCUGGGCGAACACUCUCCACCCAUUGCUUGUUAUACGUUAGUUGCUUUGGCGGGCCAGAGGCCCAGCCCCGCCGGCUCAGGCUGGCGAGCGCCCGCCGGAGGCCAAUAUUACAAACCCUGAAGUAAACCGUGAAGUCUGAACAGAAACUAUGAAAAUAGCCUAAAACUUUCAACAACGGAUCUCUUGGUUCUG
rnacentral:misc_RNA from 1 species